UUUAUGCGCCAAUGGAUGAGCCCGCACUUGAUUAGUUUGUUGGUGGGGUAAUGGCCUACCAAGACAAUGAUCAAUAGCUGAUUUGAGAGGAUGAUCAGCCACAUUGGUACUGAGACACGGACCAGACUCCUACGGGAGGCAGCAGUGAGGAAUAUUGGACAAUGGAGGCAACUCUGAUCCAGCCAUGCCGCGUGCAGGAUGACGGCCCUACGGGUUGUAAACUGCUUUUUUACAAGAAGAAACCUUGGUACGUGUACCAACUUGACGGUAUUGUAAGAAUAAGCACCGGCUAACUCCGUGCCAGCAGCCGCGGUAAUACGGAGGGUGCAAGCGUUAUCCGGAUUUAUUAGGUUUAAAGGGUUCGCAGGCGGAAUUUUAAGUCAGUGGUGAAAGCCUAUAGCUCAACUAUAGAACUGCCAUUGAUACUGAUAUUCUUGAGUGUAGAUGAAGUGGGCGGAAUAUGUCAUGUAGCGGUGAAAUGCAUAGAUAUGACAUGGAACACCAAUUGCGAAGGCAGCUCACUAAACUAUUACUGACGCUCAUGAACGAAAGCAUGGGGAGCGAACAGGAUUAGAUACCCUGGUAGUCCAUGCCGUAAACUAUGAUCACUAGAUGUUGGCGAUAUAAUGUCAGUGUUUUAGAGAAAUCGAUAAGUGAUCCACCUGGGGAGUACGUUCGCAAGAAUGAAACUCAAAGGAAUUGACGGGGGCCCGCACAAGCGGUGGAGCAUGUGGUUUAAUUCGAUAAUACGCGAGGAACCUUACCAAGGCUUAAAUGUAAAGCGAUCGGUUGAGAAAUCGGGAGUGCUUCGGCCUGGAAAACAGGUGCUGCAUGGCGGUCGUCAGCUCGUGUCGUGAGAUGUUGGGUUAAGUCCCGCAACGAGCGCAACCCUUGUCCCUAGUUGCCAGCACGUAAUGGUGGGAACUCUAGGGAGACUGCCGGUGACAAACCGGAGGAAGGUGGGGACGACGUCAAGUCAUCAUGGCCCUUAUGGGCAGGGCUACACACGUGCUACAAUGGCGAAUACAAAGGGUUGCGAACCUGCGAAGGUAAGCCAAUCCCAUAAAGCUCGUCGUAGUCCGGAUCGGAGUCUGCAACUCGACUCCGUGAAGUCGGAAUCGCUAGUAAUCGCGAAUCAGAAUGUCGCGGUGAAUACGUUCCCGGGUCUUGUACACACCGCCCGUCACACCAUGGAAGUUGGUUGCACCAGAAGUAGGUAGCUUAACCCUCGGGAGGGCGCUUACCACGGUGUGGCUUAUGACUGGGGUGAAGUCGUAACAAGGUAACC
rnacentral:rRNA from 1 species